rnacentral:lncRNA from 1 species
GAGUAUGAUGAGAGCUCAUGGACCGACAUCGAGUUCUGCCGGCGUGUCAAGAUGACUGGAUGGGUAUGCUUCCAAGUUUGGCCCUGUAUCUCUUGUAUUAUUUCUAUUUGCUCAGCAAUACCUAAAUUUGUAUCCUGGAUCUCCUGAAAAGCAAGUAGUUAAGAGUGAGGUGGGAACCGACUGUGUUAAUAGUUUUUGGCAUAUUUUAUAUCUUGUCACCCAAAACUAUGAACCACUAUGAAUCAGUAGCAGUCUCAAAAAAACAAAUUGAACCACUAGAGUAUGGGUCUGCCUGCUUAGGUCAUAGAAGUUUGAUAUCUUAGAGUUACUGGAACAAUCCAGAUAAUUCCCACACAUAUCAGUUGGUGUUAUUUGUAAAGUUUUUAAGAGUAAAAGGUGAAGUAAUUAGUCAAAUGUCAGUAGGAUCUCCCACCCUUUAUCUAAAAAACAAAAGAAGGAAACAAAACGAAAAAGGUUGAACACUGCUUGUGUGAUAUUUAAGUGUAAGUUACCAUGAAUUUGUUCAGAAAGCCAAAUCAUAGUAGAAAAACCUGACUAAAGCGCCUGUACCAAUCCUGAAAGUCCAUUCAGUUAUUGUUGGUGUAUGUUCCAUACAAAUCCAUAGAGCAGUCUUCCUUGUUUUCUUAGGAUGGAGGGGCAAGGGUAUCAUAAGGUAACGAGCCAUUAUCUGUGUACAGAUGUACUUUGUAUCCAAAACUCUAGCUGAACAAGCUGCAUGGGAGUUUGCGAGGGAGAAUGGCAUUCACUUUAUCAGCAUCAUUCCAACCCUUGUUGUUGGCCCAUUCAUCAGCUCGUCAAUGCCACCCAGUUUGAUCACUGCAUUAUCACUAAUCACAGGUACAUUUCUUCCUGCUACUAAUGAAUUAUGACAUUCAAAUUGUGAAAAAAGUAACAAAUUACUCUGCUCCAUGAGAUAUUCUGUUAGCAAUAGAAGCUAUACUAUCCACACAACCUAAAGGAUAACUUUGACUUCAUAGACCCCAGCCUAAACAUUAGAGAAACAACCAGCAUGCUCAGAACCAAAUCAAGGCUUAAUUGUGUUUAACUGAAAUUUAUCUGUUAGACCUAUUAACAGCAAGCAUGAGCACUCUAAUGCUUGACUCAAUACAGAAACUACCUCUGCUCACAAGAUGGAUGUCUUGUUCUCCCUUAUCAUAAGAAGAUUAAAUUCAUCAUUACUGAACUCUUGCAAUGGAAUCUUAACAGGAAAUGAACCUCACUACUCGAUUUUAAAACAAGUCCAAUUUGUUCACUUGGAUGAUCUAUGCAUUGCUCAUAUAUUCCUCUACGAGCACCCAGAAGCAAAUGGAAGAUACAUCUGCUCUUCUCAUGAUGUUACCAUCUAUGAACUUGCAAGAAUGAUGAAAGAGCGAUAUCCUCAGUACAGCAUCCCCCAAAAGUAAGUGCUCUCUUCAUUGCUCUGGAUUAAGCAAUAUGGCUAUACUAACAGGACUAGCAAAUGCCCAUACAUUAUGCGCCAGAGUUUGUUAACUUAGGAACUUAAUAAUCAGCUUUUGCAUUCUCAAACAAUUCAAAACUUUCGUCGGGCAAUAAUUAUUAAAGCAAUUAGAGAAAUGGCUAUCAAUUUAUGUAUUCAAGAUUUAAUAUAUCUAUUGUAAAAUAUCAUUCUAUAUCAUUAUAUAAAAUAUGAAACCGCAAAUUCUAAGGUAUAAUAGGAUGACUUCUGGGAGUUAAUUUUCUUGCACACCUGUUCACCAUACAUUUGUCUGCAUAAAAUAUGGCUUAUUAUCUCUAGACUGAAAAAUUAAGACUGCAAAAGCAAAAUAAAUAAAGAAAAGUUAUAUUCAAAGGUCAACUUGAGGUGACCUUUGAAUAUUCACACAUCAUCUUUUUUGGAUUAGCAAGAAGUUAUGGAAGUUCAGUAUGGAUUUCACAGGCUAUCAAACUGUAGUAUGAACUCCAUUUAUUCUUCUCGCAAUUGAUUGAUCUGCCUUAUUUCAUGUUUUUAUAUUGUGCUAGUGGCAAUAAUUGAAGCUUGACAUCCACGAUGUUAUUUGCCUAAGGAUUUCAAUUGGAUGCUAAAUGAUUAUUUAUGCUUGCUUCUGAAAGGAGGAUCAUUGUCACCUGAAUUUAGUAGACAGUGAUAAUAGGAAGUCAAACAACAUACCUUUAAACUAUUAUUAUCAACAACUCUAUUUAACAAUCGUGUGACCAAGCAUUCAGCAUGUGUGACUAGAUAGAAUCAGGUAUGGACCAUCACAGAGUCAAAAAUAUGAUUUAUUGACAUGUACAUUGUAGUCGAAUAAGCCCUGCAUGUGAAAUAUGUUUUUCCGAUACAUCAUGUGAAUUAACCAAAUUUUUGCCAGUAUGCUACUACAAUUAACUGCUACAAAUAACACAAAAUUUAGUAAUAUAUGUUACCAUUCAGUGAAUUGUUAUGGUCCAGGAAUCUCGGGCAUGUUUAGAUUGAGUCUAGGGUUUCAAACUUGUUUUCGUUCUAAGAAAUUCUUGGAAUGAGUCUUAAAUAAUUUAUUGAGAACAAAAUCUGAAGCUAGCAGGGACAAAAACCUAAUGAAAAAGAUAGCAUAAUUAUUUCAUGCGGAAAAGAAAAAUGAUAAAACAUGCUGAAUAUUUAACCAAUGACUGAUAAACUUGACCUUACAAAAAAAUUGAGCAGCCCAAAUUUCAAUCGAUCCGAAACCAACAAAGCUCCUAGAAACCAGCAAUAAAAUAAUUAAUUAAUAAAAUACACCAAAAAAAUAAACAGAAAAAAUCAGGGAAAUAGAAAAAUAUGUUUACCUUUUUUAUGCUUCAAGUACACUCUUUUGAGGGGAAAAUAACACUGUAGCAAACCCACGCCGAGCCUCGCGCACAGUCCGUUCCUGUUUCGCUGUUGCACAUGGAGCUCAAGUCGUCGAACCAUAGUCGGAACUCGCAUCAAACCUAGCUUACAUUACAAAUCCUUGAACAGUAGAGAUAUUUAGCUGCAGAGGCGGAUAUUGGUA